UACGAAGGGUGCAAGCGUUACUCGGAAUUACUGGGCGUAAAGCGUGCGUAGGCGGUUCGUUAAGUCUGUCGUGAAAGCCCCGGGCUCAACCUGGGAAUGGCGAUGGAUACUGGCGAGCUAGAGUGCGGUAGAGGAGAGUGGAAUUCCCGGUGUAGCAGUGAAAUGCGUAGAGAUCGGGAGGAACAUCAGUUGCGAGGGCGGCUCUCUGGACCAGCACUGACACUGAGGCACGAAAGCGUGGGGAGCAAACAGG
rnacentral:rRNA from 1 species